GUGGCAGGAAGCUGGCUGCGGUAGCACAUGACUGCAGUCUUAGCACUCCAGAGCUAAAGUUGGGGGAUUCCAAGUUCAAGACCAGCCUGAGCUACAUUCCAAGACCCGAAGGCCUGGAGCUACUGAGGAGGAACUGGAAGUGGUUUCGUUCUCAGGAAAAAAGGAGGCUGACACAAGAGGACCACAGAGAGUUUGAGUGUUGCAGCUUCUAUGACCUGCCUGGGGGAAGAAUUCAGAUUUCUGCAGCUUGCCUUCUGGGAGGUAGAAAGGAGAAGUAAGAGGGCAGGGGAAGGGCAGAAACCACCUUAAGCUGCUGAGGCUGCUUCUGAGACCUUCACCUUGGGGUACUGUUUUCCGAACUCCAACCUUUGAUUGUAGAGUCACAAUAGCUGAGUCACCCAAGGUCUCCACAGAUAUGACUGGGAAAAGGACCAUGGAACUGAAACCAAAGACCAGGCUCUGGUGUGCAUACCUUCAAUCCCAGCACUCAGGAGGCUCAGGCAAGGAGGAUUGAAAGCCCUAGAACAGCUAGGGCUACAUAGCAAGACUCUCUACAACUGCCAUGCCACCUCAAGCAAGGAAACUAGAACCAAAGAUGUCGAAUAUAGUCUUUGUUUGAUAGUCACCCUUUGUGUAAAUAUUGUCCCAAAAAUUAAAAGUGACUUCAUAACUGUGGAGAGUUGGUAGUAAGACAACCUAAAGCUGUAGAGAAUGAAUUUAACAUUGUGGAUUGCAGCCCAGUGAAUCUGUGCAAGAGGCAAGCCAGAGAUCUUUGUUGGUCUGGCUAACCUAUAACUCGCUGAAUAGACCAGGGUGCCCUUGCCCCCCAAAUGCUGGAUUAGAGGCAUUUGCCACUGUAUCCGGCUCUAUUGAGAACAUUCUCCAGUCAAAGAACCUCAUGGAAUGGAUGGAACCACAGAUGCCGAAGACAUCACUUGGAGCUCAUCAAACCUGUAGAAUCAGAAGCUGCACCUGGGGACUAUCAAGUCACAAUCACAUCUAACAAGACUUGCCAGUGAUGCCCCUGCAAACUAAAGUAUGAAAAGUAUUUCCCAAGAGUGGUUGUAUGGCUUGAAUACCCGUGUAUUCGAAAGGCUCCAAUGUUGAAAGGACAACCUGAAAGGUGAUGAUAGUAGAGGGUGGGACUUUUGAAAAGUUAUUAGCUUAUGAUGGAGGAUCCUUGGCACUGGGAUUAGCACCUUAUAAUAGGAG
rnacentral:lncRNA from 1 species